ensembl:lncRNA
GUCUGUCUGGAGCUCCCAGUGCUCCACCUCUCCGCCCUCUGUCGUGCCAUCCACCGCCGAGCCCUGAGGUGACUCCGAACACAUGAGAAGCAACAGCGGAUCCGAACCCGUGGACCCGGUUGGAAGCUCUGAGGUUUGGACGGUGUCUGGAGGAUGGAGGACGGCCAGCAGUGAUUAGCAUGAUCAGACCGCACUGAUUAGCCUGCUCAGACCGCGUUACAGGAUACCGGCGCCCCGAAGCCCGGCAGGAUUGGAAAGCAGCACUUGUCACCGAAGACCAGCGACGGUGUGGGCGAGUAAAUGAGGAGAGCUGGGUUCAGCGUGAGAGCUGUGUGGAUCUGGAUCGGGGUCCCGGUCCCGUCCUUCCCUUUUUAAUCAUGUGAUGUUAUGCAGGCCGCAAUCCAGCAG